AAAAAUAUCUGGAGUGAUGCAAACAGACUUCAGAUUCCAGGUUGCCAGAUAGAAAGAGAUGAGAAACCUAAAGUCAAUAAUUUUGUAGAGGUGCUGAAGAACAAGCCCACUGUGGAUUGCACUGUCUCAGUUUGUAGAGUGAUAAAGUGCAGUGUGUACCUGAGGAAGGAUGGUCAUUAUUCUUACAACUUCUCUG